rnacentral:rRNA from 1 species
CAUGGUCUAGCCAGUCUAUUCAAGCAAAAUGAUUUUUAGUCUGAACCCCCGAAACUAGGUGAGCUACUUCGAAACAGUCUCAAGGACUAACCCGUCUCUGUCGCAAAAGAGUGGGAUGAUUUCCAAGUAGAGGCGACAAACCAACCGCACCUGGAAAUAGCUGGUUACUCAAGAAAAGAAUAUAAGUUCAACCUUAAGUUUUUUAAUUACACGAAAAGCCCAUUAAACUUAAGAGCUACUCAAAUAAGGCACAGCUUAUUUGAAAUAGGAUACAACCUACAACACAGGGUAAAACUCAUGAACAAGUAACUAGUGGGCCUAAGAGCAGCCACCUUCAAAAAGCGUUAAAGCUUAAUACUUACUCUAAAUAAAUACCUUCACCUUCCCUGAACCCUUCACCAAUAUUGAGUAACUCCAUAAAAUUAUGGAAGUUAUAAUGCUAGAACUAGUAACAAGAAACAGACUUUCUCCAAAAUGCAAGCCUAAGCCACAAUAGACAAUCUAUUGGCAAUUAACGCAAAUGAAAGUAUUAUAGUAACUCUAACAAGAAAAACCUAUACCCUCAUGCGUCACCCUUACACCAGAGCAUUAAUGGAAAGAUUAAAAGAAAAAGAAGGAACUCGGCAAACCCGUGCCCCGCCUGUUUAC